UUUCUGACAUGUAUCUGAUAUUGAUCCACUUUGGAAAACAGAGAUGUGGGUGGAUUAGGAUUUUAAAUGGGAAAAGGCCAUUUCAGAGCAUGUCGAGGAAGGAUGGGGCUGGGUGGAAUAUCCAGAGCAGAAUGACACGGUGGGAAUGGGUGAGGGGUGCACCCAGCAUCCAAAAAGCAAACUCAGCCAGCUGAGUCCAAGAAGUAGGUAAGGGCAGGGAACAAAAGAAAGAUCAGAAAGAAACUCUGAAGAAAUAUUUUAUAUCUUGAAAUGUAGCCUAGUGGAGGCUUUGGAAACAAAUGUGAGGCAGAUGUUCCGCCUAAAGCAAUCUAGCACUUCUAGCUGCAGUUAGUUGGUGAUGCUGUUCCAUCUCCAGGAUGCUUUAUCAGGAGGGAUCAGAAAGCUGGCUGUUGGAUGUCUGCCCGUCCCACUCCUGCCCUUACCCUAUUAUGAAGGGAACAGUAUUCUCUCUGUGGUCCCCAGAGCUUGUUCACCAUGCAAGCACUGUGGGAAGUUGCCUCAAAUUCCACUAUCUCUUCAUCACCCCUCUCCCUCUUCCCUAUGAAAAUGGGACAGUUCUAACUCCUUCUCCAUUUCAGCAGAGAAAACAUUUUUCUCAGCCAGUCUUGGUAGCACAAAGGCAGUCACUAGACUAAAUUUAUCAUUUAUUACCCCCAACUUCAGCCAUCACCAUCCAUUUUAUUUUUUUUAGUAAAGGCAGCUUAAUGGGUUUAGACAGAUGAUAAUUCAUCAGAAAAUCAAAGAACUGGAAGGGCCCUAAAAGAAUAUCUAGUUGCACCCACUCACUUGACAGAUAAUGAAGCCAAGACUCAGAGAAGGGCAUGACUCCCCCAAGGUCAACAGCAAGUUGAGGGUGGAGCUACAUCAAGAGCCCAAGACUGCUGGCUACCAGCUCUCUUCCCCCAGCCCCUCUGUAUUAGUUUGUUUUCAC
rnacentral:lncRNA from 10 species